AGAUAAUAGAUACCCGGGUAGUCCACGCCCUAAACGAUGACAACUGGCUAUAAGGAGUAUCGACCCUCUUUGUGGCGAAAGCUAAACGCGUUAAGUUGUCCGCCUGGGUAGUACGGCCGCAAGGCUAAAACUCAAAGGAAUAGACGGGGACUUGCACAAGCGGUGGAUCAUGCGGCUCAAUUCGAUGACAAACGAAGAACCUCACCAGGGUUUGAAACCCAGACGAUCGCUCUAGGAAACUAGAGCUUCCGCAAGGCGGCUGGGUCAGGUGAUGCAUGGUCGUCGUCAGUUCGUGGCUUGAGUUGUUCCCUUCAGUGGGUUAACCGAACGCAACCCUCGUUGCCUGUUUUAAAACGUCAGGCGAGACUGCCCCCGUCACGGGGGUAGGAAGGUGAGGAUGACGCCAGAUCAGCAUGUCCCUCUGAUAUCCUGGGCUGCACGCAUGAUACAAUGGACGAGACAACGGGUUCGCGACGGAGUAAUCCUGAGCUAAUCCUUAGAACUCGUCCCCAGUUCGGAUUGAGGGCUGCAACUCGCCCU
rnacentral:rRNA from 1 species